rnacentral:lncRNA from 1 species
GUGUCAUGCAAGAAGGAGGCGGCGGCGGCGGCCGGAGCUGGAGGGGGAGGAGGGGAGGAACCUGAUCCUCGGUAGCGAAGGGCUGGAGGCAAACACCGAGCUCCCCCUGAGCCGCCUGGGAGCAGGGAGGGUUCUGCUACCCUGAGGGGCCCUCCCCGCGGGGCAGAGGGGUUUCCUCAGCAGUGCCCCGGAGCAGGGACCGCGCCAGCCAGCAGAAACAGCUAGUUGUUGUCUGCAGUGAAGAAUAAUUGGAAGCAUGGUGCCUGUUUCUUUUCCUGUGGGAGGAAGUCACAGCAUCUACUUCUGAAUCUGUGCUUGCCUUGAGGAAAAACGGCAUGGCACAGGAAUGUGGACGCUUUCAACCAGAGGAUUCUGUACGACGGUGUCGGCACACACUCAUCCUCGUCUACGGCCAAACGUUGGUUUCUCAUUUCUAGAAGAUGAAAGAUGUGAUGACUCAGGAAAAAAGGCUUCACCCAUUCUUUGUUUUGUGCAGCUGGAAUCUUAGUAACUGUGGUGGGCAUUGAGCCUUGCCGUCCACAAGAGAAAGCUUGCUGCUCGAGAUGUGAGUCUUCAGAUGUUCCUGCCGCCAUAUCUGACAGCUGCUGCCAAGAUUCCCUGGUGGGAUGGACUCUUAUACCUCAACAACCAGAAGCCCAAGUAAACUCUUCUAUAAAUUGAAUGACUCAUGCUUAAAAAAAAAAACAAAAA